rnacentral:rRNA from 1 species
AGUGAACGCUGGCGAUAGGCCUAACACAUGCCAGUCGAACGGCAGCACAGUAAGAGCUUGCUCUUACGGGUGGCGAGUGGCGGACGGGUGAGGAAUACAUCGGAAUCUACUUUUUCGUGGGGGAUAACGUAGGGAAACUUACGCUAAUACCGCAUACGACCUACGUGUGAAAGCACGGGAUCUUCGGACCUUGCGCGAUUGAAUGAGCCGAUGUAGGAUUAGCUAGUUGGCGGGGUAAAGGCGCACCAAGGCUACGAUCCGUAUCUGGUCCGAGAGGAUGAAUCGCCACACUGGAAGUGAGACACGGUCCAGACUCCUACGGGAGGCCGCAGUGGGGAAUAUUGGACGAUGGGCGCAAGCCUGAUCCAGCCAUACCGCCUAGAUGAAGAAGGACUUCGGGUUGUAGAGCCAUUUUGUUGGGAAAGAAAAGCAGCAGUUUCAUCCCCCGCUGUUCUGACGGUACCCAAAGAAUAAGCCCCGGCUAACUUCGUG